CCCGUUGUAGGUCAUGAAGAUAAGCAUGAGGAAGUAGCUUAUGACCACCUGGAUGAUGUGCAGCACUGUUUGCAGGAGGUGAGGAAAGCUCAGCAUCUGCUGCCUGGAGAGUAAACAGGGACACAACAAUCAGGGACUCCUAGGAGUUCUGCAGAUCAGGAGAAAGAGGGAAGAGUUUUUGCCAUGAGCUCAGCUGGAACUGGACAGCCACUCUGGCAACUCACAGGUAUAAAGACCAGAACUUAAUUCAGAAAAGAGUUGAUUUUAGAAGGGACUACCAAAGAAAGAAGCCUAAAAUCUUGGUUCUGGUGUGACUCUAGAUGGAAUCUUGCCAUUUUGCCCAGGCUGAAAUGCAAUGGCUAUUCACAGGCAUGAUCCCACUACUGAUCAAUACAGGAGUUUUGACCUGCUCCAUUUCUGACCUAGGCUGGUUCACCAGGCAACCUGGUGGUUCCCUGCUCCUGGACUUGUUUCUUGGUCACCUAUGUCUUCUGAGUAAACAUGAAUGGACCAUGUAAUUACUAUAUAAAAAACAAAAUAUAAAGGCAAAGAACUAGUUUAAAUGUGAGAGAGGACACAGGUGACAUAUACUAUAUUGGAUGCUUAAUGAGCCCCUCUUGGAUGCUACUCUUUCUUGAGUCAGCUAAGAAGAGAAGUCUGGCUCCAAACAAUUCGGUCUGGAAAGAGAUGGAUGAGCCAUUUCUUCACCUAUAUGUGGAUCACCUGAAACUGAAACCUGAGUGUCCCGUCUCAGAAUCCCACUAAGAAUUGGAAGGACCUUAGCAGUCAUUGCAUGGUGCUCCUCAGUAAUACUUAAAUUCUAUAAUAACUGUUCAAACACCUCUGGGAACUUGUCAGGCAAGUGUGUUGCUCCCUUCCAGAAAUAUAAGGAAGCAAAAUUCUCUUCCUAGCCAAGCCAAAUACAGAAGAUGUCCCAUAGGAAUCUGAAUCUUGCUAUUUGACAGUGAUGAUGCUGAUGAACCGGUACUCCAAGCUAAACCAGUAUUUGUACUGCAGAUACUAUUUGCAUGUACUUCUCAAGCUGUAAUUUGCUUCUAAGGCCGCCCUCCGAAGAACUAAUUUCUGCCUGCAAAAAGAAACCUAGGUAUCUUCACCCCCAACUUUUGGUAUCAAUACACUGAUUUUUAAGCUCA